rnacentral:rRNA from 1 species
CGGGCUUGAACUGCAGCGGAAGGAUACAGAGAUGUUGACGCCCUUCGGGGCCGCUGUGGAGGUGCUGCAUGGUUGUCGUCAGCUCGUGCCGUGAGGUGUCGGCUUAAGUGCCAUAACGAGCGCAACCCUUGUCAUUAGUUGCCAUCACUUCGGGUGGGCACUCUAGUGAUACUGCCACCGCAAGGUGUGAGGAAGGUGGGGAUGACGUCAAAUCAGCACGGCCCUUACGUCCGGGGCUACACACGUGUUACAAUGGCGUGUACAGAGAGUUGGACUAUGGCGACAUAGUUCGGAUCAAGAAAGCACGUCCCAGUUCGGAUAGGAGUCUGCAACCCGACUCCUUGAAGCUGGAUUCGCUAGUAAUCGCGCAUCAGCCAUGGCGCGGUGAAUACGUUCCCGGGCC